ACUUCUCUGUAAUGCAGUCCAGGCCCA
rnacentral:piRNA from 1 species